GGCUCUGGGGUGUGUGUCUCCAACAAGCGCGUGUGUGAUGGUGUGACGGACUGCCCUGAUGCCUCGGAUGAAGCCCAGUGUGUUCACCUGCUGCCUGUGAGCUCUGGGAACAGUACAGGUGAGGCCAGACUGCAGGUUCAGGUGAACUCCAAACGCUAUACUUCAUGUGCUCAGAACUGGACAUCAGAUCUGUCUCAGUACUUCUGCCGCUACCUGGGCUACAGGUCAGGAGUAGCCAGUCCUGUGUUAGCCAGAGAAGAGGACUCUCCAUUUACCUCCAUUUCUCUGAGGCCUGAUGGUAUUGUGCACCUGGA